CCUUCCUUUUCCGACCGGAGUGUUAUCGUAAUUGAUCUUUAUCGUUCCUUGUACAUCUCGUUUCAACCGGAGUGCUUGCAUGUACUUCUUGUCCUUUGUAACCCUUUCCUUAUGUCUUUCAACCUACAAGAUUCUAGUAAUGUUCCUCGUUCCUCUUUUCUAACGGAGUGUUUUUAAUUUCGUUCAUCUCGUUGUAUUCUUCUUUCAAAUUGUUUAACCUCUCAAGGUUCAUUGGUUUCACUCGUUUGUCAAAGAAGCAACUUAGUUUUACCUCUUCUCUUUUCUCUUCCGUUUGUCCCUCCGGUGCCAUUCUAGAUCUCGGGACGAGAUCCUCUCAUAAUGGUGGAGUGUUGUGACGCCCCGAGGCCGACGCGCCAGGUGUCUUCCAGUUAUUCGUUGUUGUUGCCUUGUCUUUCGCUUGCGUGUUGCAUCUUGCCAUGUCAUCAUCCGCAUUGCAUCAUCAUGUUUUCAAAACUUGCAUCCGUCCCGAAGGGACUAGCAAUCCAAAGAAAAGGGGCGGAGGUAAUUUCUCAUUUUUUUGAAAUUUUGUAGCAAUUUUGAAUAGCAGCUUGAACCCUGAUAUUCAAGCAGAUUUUAGUGAUAUAUUAAUCUUGUCAUUGCAGAUUUGAAAAAGUAUUAUGAAUCAGGGGUAGGACCCAUGGGAGGGUGUGGUUGUGGGACGCAGCCAGCCCCGUCGUCGCGGAACCCUAGGGCAGGGCAUGGUCGCAUUGCGGGAGUGGCGCAAGGCCGUGCCGGCUAUUCCUUACAUCAAGGAGGAACACAGAUACAAGCGGCACGGGGAGGGAGAUCUCCACGAUGGUGAUGGAGCGAAUGGGACGGAGGCAUUGGGGUCAGGGUGUAUGAAGUGGUCGGGGAAGUUCGAGACGGCGAAGUCGAUAAGGCCGUGUAUGCAUCAAAGACCUUGAGCUAGGCGGCGCAGUUGCCAUAACCGUUGUGUGCGUCCGUUGAAUCACGUUGGUAGUCUCAUCAAAGGUUCAUGAAAUCAUCAGGAUAAUUAGCAGAUUAAUGACUUGUUGUGGGAUUAAUGAUGUUCAAGCUGGGAGUAUUGGCUUUGUUUUCUCACCUCUGGGAAUUAGAAAUGGAUGAGUACUGGGUAUACAUUGGAUACAUUGCAAACUGCAGAACUGAAGGAAACCUACAUGGUAUUCAUGUUGGACCGUUUACAGGAUAGAGGUAUUCCUGAUGGAAUCUUGUAUGCCUUUGGUGAGCCUCACGCCUUUGGUGAGCCUCACUAGCUAUUCAGUAUCCAAAGAAGGAUGGGAUAUCAAGCUGGACGCCCAUAUUCUUGAGAAAUAUUAAAUGGACUAACUCAGAUGAACACAAUAUUGUAUGAUGGUGACAUGCAUGUCGACUCUUUGGUCUUGGUGAUUAGAAGGCAUGAAGGACGUGAUCGAGCAAGUGAACAAGCAGUUUAAAGAUCCAGAGGAAGUCUAGAAUUUGCUUCAAAGACAGAAGUCGUCAAUAUAGAAAAGUCAAACAUAGACAGAAUGAAAUCUGGCCGGAGAAGCCGAUUGUACCUUUUUCUGAAAUCUGGUUGGAGGAGACGAUUGUACAUUCUUCCCGAGUGCCCAAUGUAGAUGACUAAUGUUGGUGAUGCCAUUCACUUGCCUCGUUUUUAAAGAUCACAUGUGCAACACAAUGUUGUAAAGGGAAUCACGUGGAGUGGGGAGGGGUGUGGUAAGAUGGGAUUGAAGGAGCACAUGAAAAUAUAUAUUUUGGUGA